GCGGGUGUAGUUCAAUGGUAGAACUUCAGCCUUCCAAGCUGACCGCGUGGGUUCGAUUCCCAUCACCCGCUCCA
rnacentral:tRNA from 1 species